rnacentral:rRNA from 1 species
CCUACGGGUGGCAGCAGUGGGGAAUAUUGCACAAUGGGGGGAACCCUGAUGCAGCGACGCCGCGUGGGUGAGGAAGUACUUCGGUAUGUAAAGCCCUAUCAGCAGGGAAGAAAAUGACGGUACCUGACUAAGAAGCCCCGGCUAACUACGUGCCAGCAGCCGCGGUAAUACGUAGGGGGCAAGCGUUAUGCGGAUUUACUGGGUGUUAAGGGAGCGUAGGCGGCGUGCCAAGUCUGGUGUGAAAGGCCGGGGCUCAACCCCGGGACUGCCUUGGAAACUGGCAGGCUGGAGUGCGGGAGGGGCAAGCGGAAUGCCUGGUGUAGCGGUGAAAUGCGUAGAUAUUAGGAGGAACACCGGUGGCGAAGGCGGCUUACUGGACGGUAACUGACGUUGAGGCUCGAAAGCGUGGGGAGCAAACAGGAUUAGAUACCCGAGUAGUC